AUUGAACGCUGGCGGCAUGCCUUACACAUGCAAGUCGAACGGCAGCGGGGACUUCGGUCCGCCGGCGAGUGGCGAACGGGUGGGUAAUGUAUCGGAACGUACCAUUGAGUGGGGGAUAACGUAGCGAAAGUUACGCUAAUACCGCAUAUUCUCUCCGGAGGAAAGCAGGGGACCGCAAGGCCUUGCGCUCUUUGAGCGGCCGAUAUCAGAUUAGCUAGUUGGUGAGGUAAAGGCUCACCAAGGCGACGAUCUGUAGCGGGUCGGAGAGGAUGAUCCGACACACGGGACAUGAGACACGGUCCAGACUCCUACGGGAGGCAGCAGUGGGGAAUUUUGGACAAUGGGGGCAACCCUGAUCCAGCCAUGCCGCGUGAGUGAAGAAGGCCUUCGGGUUGUAAAGCUCUUUCGGCCGGGAAAAAAUCGCAUGGGCUAAUACCCUGUGUGGAUGAUGGUACCGGAAUAAGAAGCACCGGCUAACUACGUGCCAGCAGCCGCGGUAA
rnacentral:rRNA from 1 species